ACUCUUUGAGGUGGAAGAUUUCGUGCGAUCCACACGCCGUUGGUACUGACAGGGGAAAUCCCGAGAGAUGCAGGAGAAGCGCACGCCUGCCAAAGAGU
ncrna:unclassified sequences skipping-rope RNA